rnacentral:rRNA from 1 species
UACGUAGGUGGCGAGCGUUGUCCGGAUUUACUGGGCGUAAAGGGAGCGUAGGCGGACUUUUAAGUGAGAUGUGAAAUACUCGGGCUCAACUUGAGUGCUGCAUUUCAAACUGGAAGUCUAGAGUGCAGGAGAGGAGAAUGGAAUUCCUAGUGUAGCGGUGAAAUGCGUAGAGAUUAGGAAGAACACCAGUGGCGAAGGCGAUUCUCUGGACUGUAACUGACGCUGAGGCUCGAAAGCGUGGGGAGCAAACUGG